UCGGGAAUUUUGGGCAAUGGGCGAAAGCCUGACCCAGCAACGCCGCGUGAAGGAUGAAAUCUUUCGGGAUGUAAACUUCGGAAGAAUAGGAAGAAUAAAAUGACGGUACUAUUUUAAGGUCCGGCUAACUACGUGCCAGCAGCCGCGGUAAUACGUAGGGACCAAGCGUUGUUCGGAUUUACUGGGCGUAAAGGGCGCGUAGGCGGCGUAACAAGUCACUUGUGAAAUCUCCGGGCUUAACUCGGAGCGGCCAAGUGAUACUGUUAGGCUAGAGUGCAGAAAGGGCAAUCGGAAUUCUUGGUGUAGCGGUGAAAUGCGUAGAUAUCAAGAGGAACACCUGAGGUGAAGACGGGUUGCUGGGCUGACACUGACGCUGAGGCGCGAAAGCCAGGGGAGCAAACGGGAUUAGAUACCCCCGUAGUCCCUGAGCGGGCUGGCAAGGCGCAU
rnacentral:rRNA from 1 species